GUGCUUAACACAUGCAAGUCGAACGAUGAACCUGGAGCUUGCUCUAGGGAAUUAGUGGCGAACGGGUGAGUAACACGUGAGUAACCUGCCCUUGACUCUGGGAUAACCUCCGGAAACGGAAGCUAAUACCGGAUACGACGUACGGAGGCAUCUCCUGUACGUGGAAAGAACUUCGGUCAAGGAUGGACUCGCGGCCUAUCAGGUAGUUGGUGAGGUAACGGCCCACCAAGCCUACGACGGGUAGCCGGCCUGAGAGGGUGACCGGCCACACUGGGACUGAGACACGGCCCAGACUCCUACGGGAGGCAGCAGUGGGGAAUAUUGCACAAUGGGCGCAAGCCUGAUGCAGCAACGCCGCGUGAGGGAUGACGGCCUUCGGGUUGUAAACCUCUUUUAGUAGGGAAGAAGCGAAAGUGACGGUACCUGCAGAAAAAGCACCGGCUAACUACGUGCCAGCAGCCGCGGUAAUACGUAGGGUGCGAGCGUUGUCCGGAAUUAUUGGGCGUAAAGAGCUCGUAGGCGGUCUGUCGCGUCUGCUGUGAAAACCCGAGGCUCAACCUCGGGCCUGCAGUGGGUACGGGCAGACUAGAGUGCGGUAGGGGAGAAUGGAAUUCCUGGUGUAGCGGUGGAAUGCGCAGAUAUCAGGAGGAACACCGAUGGCGAAGGCAGUUCUCUGGGCCGUAACUGACGCUGAGGAGCGAAAGCGUGGGGAGCGAACAGGAUUAGAUACCCUGGUAGUCCACGCCGUAAACGUUGGGCGCUAGAUGUGGGGACCAUUCCACGGUUUCCGUGUCGCAGCUAACGCAUUAAGCGCCCCGCCUGGGGAGUACGGCCGCAAGGCUAAAACUCAAAGGAAUUGACGGGGGCCCGCACAAGCGGCGGAGCAUGCGGAUUAAUUCGAUGCAACGCGAAGAACCUUACCAAGGCUUGACAUACACGAGAACGGGCCAGAAAUGGUCAACUCUUUGGACACUCGUGAACAGGUGGUGCAUGGUUGUCGUCAGCUCGUGUCGUGAGAUGUUGGGUUAAGUCCCGCAACGAGCGCAACCCUCGUUCUAUGUUGCCAGCGCGUAAUGGCGGGAACUCAUAGGAGACUGCCGGGGUCAACUCGGAGGAAGGUGGGGAUGACGUCAAAUCAUCAUGCCCCUUAUGUCUUGGGCUUCACGCAUGCUACAAUGGCCGGUACAAAGGGCUGCAAUACCGUAAGGUG
rnacentral:rRNA from 1 species